GACGUAGGGCGCGAGCGUUGUCCGGAUUUAUUGGGCGUAAAGAGCUCGUAGGCGGCUUGUCGCGUCGAAUGUGAAAACCUACGGCUCAACUGUGGGCUUGCAUUCGAUACGGGCAGGCUAGAGUUCGGUAGGGGAGACUGGAAUUCCUGGUGUAGAGGUGAAAUUCGUGGAUAUUGGGAAGAACACCGGUGGCGAAGGCGGCUCUCUG
rnacentral:rRNA from 1 species